rnacentral:rRNA from 1 species
AUUGAACGCUGGCGGCAGGCCUAACACAUGCAAGUCGAACGAGUGGCGGACGGGUGAGUAAUGUCUGGGAAACUGCCUGAUGGAGGGGGAUAACUACUGGAACCGGUAGCUAAUACCGCAUACCAUCGGAUGUGCCCAGAUGGGAUUAGCUAGUAGGUGGGGUAAAGCCUCACCUAGGCGACGAUCCCUAGCUGGUCUGAGAGGAUGACCAGCCACACGGGGCUUGUGACGCGGUCCAGACCCGCACGGGCGGCAGCAGUGGGGAAGAUUCGCCAAUUGGCGAGAGCCUGAUGCAGCCAUGCCUCGUGUAUGAAGAAGGCUUUCUGGUUAUAAAGUACUUUCAGCGGGGAGGCGUUACCGGCAGAUGAAGCACCUGCUAACUCCGCGCCAGCAGCCGCGAUAUUUC